UACGUAGGGGGCAAGCGUUGUCCGGAUUUAUUGGGCGUAAAGAGCGUGUAGGCGGCCAUACAGGUCAGCUGUGAAAACUCGAGGCUCAACCUCGAGACGUCGGUUGAAACCGUAUGGCUAGAGUCCGGAAGAGGAGAGUGGAAUUCCCGGUGUAGCGGUGAAAUGCGCAGAUAUCGGGAAGAACACCUAUGGCGAAGGCAGCUCGCUGGGACGGUACUGACGCUGAGACGCGAAAGCGUGGGGAGCAAACAGG
rnacentral:rRNA from 1 species